CCCGCAACGAGCGCAACCCUCACCCUUAGUUGCCAUCAUUAAGUUGGGGCACCCUAAGGGAACUGCCGCAGUUAAUGCGGAGGAAGGUGGGGAUGACGUCAAGUCCUCAUGGCCCUUAUAUCCAGGGCUACACACGUGCUACAAUGGGCGGUACAAAGGGUCGCGAACCUGUAAAGGGGAGCUAACCCCAGAAAACCGUUCUCAGUUCGGAUUGGAGUCUGCAACCCGACUCCAUGAAGUUGGAAUCGCUAGUAAUCGCGGAUCAGAACGCCGCGGUGAAUACGUUCCCGGGCCUU
rnacentral:rRNA from 1 species